UACAGAGGUCCCGAGCGUUGUUCGGAUUCACUGGGCGUAAAGGGUGCGUAGGUGGUGAGGCAAGUCGGAUGUGAAAUACUGGAGCUUAACUCCGGAACUGCAUUGGAAACUGCCUUGCUUGAGGUUUGGAGGGGGGACUGGAAUUCUCGGUGUAGCAGUGAAAUGCGUAGAUAUCGAGAGGAACACCAGUGGCGAAGGCGAGUCCCUGGACAACACCUGACACUGAGGCACGAAAGCUAGGGGAGCAAACAGG
rnacentral:rRNA from 1 species